rnacentral:lncRNA from 1 species
AUUUAAAAAAUAUCACUAUUUUAUUUUUUUUAUUUUUUUUAGGUUAGUUUUAGUUUUAAAACACAACAAUAUUAAUUUUAAUUUUAAUAAAGUUCCAGAUGAAUGUUAUUUUUAUUUUAUAAAAUUAACCGAGCCUGAGCACAGGAGUCUGCUCGUCAGGAGGCGGCUCAGGCCACUGCCGCUAUGGUCCCCGAGGAGCUGCCUAGAGUGCCGGCCUAUGGCGUACACCGGCCGCCUCGAUUACGGUAUAGCCGGGUACAAAAGUGGUAGGAUGGCAGCACACGAUGUUGCAUUUUAUGUUUGAGUUAGUCCAUGUGCUUUUGUUGGAUGUGUUGGUGUUGGAUUUAUAUAUACCAGGUUGUGAGCUGUCAGUGUGUUGGUGGGUUGUAUUGUAUAGGAGUAAGAAACUGUUGGUAAACGACAAGUCCGGCAUCACAGCGAUACGAGCUAGGUAGGUAGGUAGGUAUGUAUUUUGCCUGAGGCAACUCUCAGGAUAGCGGUACUUCUAUUCCCCACCUAGGCUCCUUUUCCACUCCGGCCCCACUGUUUGGUAAGUAUUGAGUGUGCUGGUACUUGUAAUAUUAAUCUGUGUUGGUAAUUUUAUUUGUAUUGUGUUGAAUGCAGGUAAAAUACGGAGGGGAAGUAAGCGGUACCCCACCACCCACAACCACGGUGCCGUGACUGCUGGUGCUGGUACUUGUGACCAAGCCAGUGAAAAUAUCUCCACAUGUAUGGGUAUACGCUGGAUUAUUCUAUCAUUGUGAUGGCUGCAGGAUACAUCAAGGACGUCGAGAGCGAGAGAGAUAUCAAUAUCACUGUUUGUGCAAACGGAGAAUUCGAUGCCGGAUUAUUAUAUUGUCGUGGAGCUUUAUGUCUAGCAUACGGAGAGUUCGACGAGGAGACAGGCGUGAUCUGCCUGAUAAAUUUUGGGGAUCAUCGGUGCUUUUUAGAUUGCAAUCGCAUGGAUUUGAGGGUGAGUAGACCGAGUCCAUCGACACUUGCGGUGCCCGAAACUCGUCGGGGGUCAGCGAAGCGAGAAAUUCCGUGGGUGCUCCUCAGUAGGGGAGUCAGGAGUUCUGGGUUCUGGGUCUGGUACCUGAAGGGGGUGUCCGGUGUUCGGUACAAAUGCGCUUGCGCAUUUAGCCGCACCAACAUCCGAGCUCAUAUCAGCAGGUGAAAUAAACUCGAGACUGGAUAGGAGACUUGAGAGCCAACGGCCGAGUCAAUACAGGCAAACUCAGUCUUACAAAGUAACAUUAAGAUUGCAGAGCAAGAGUAAGAGAGCAAAAGAGCAGCCGCAGUCAGUCCGCUAUCCGCGACUGACUAUAUAUAUGUACAGUGUAAUCGGUACAGCGGUAGCCAAUGAGGAUGCGAGACCUACAUACACCCUGGGCCUCAUGCUCUUCUCAAUGCACCCCACUAUCCAUGUGCCCAAGAAAUCCUCACACACUUAAAUAAUAUCGCUGUCUGUUGUGUCUAUGUGUGUAUGUACACACUCUACACUUAUCAUUAUUAUUAUUGUUAUUAUUAUUAUAUUACUGUGGUACGUGUAGUGUGUUGUGGUACUAAUAUAACUCCACAUCAGAGUUCCAGUACCGUUAGUCUGCACUAAAUUCCCAGGCGCUAGGAACUCGGGGCGAGUUGAGUCUUUGUGUAUGGCUGGUAAGGCCGUCUGACUAAGUAAAGGUUGCUGGCUGCUGUUCUGUCCUGGUAUUAUGUGCAGGAGCAACUCGAUACUAUUAUAUGUCCGACGUCAUAAAAGAGUAGGCUGUAGGCUGAAGGUGGGUUGUUAUCCCAGAAAUAAUAUUAUAAUCGCUUCACACGCACACUACUCAAGUUUAAGAAACCUUAUGUUGCAUCGGUAAUAUUAAG